UACAUUUUAGUGUAUGGUGCACAGGAAUUUUUGAUAUUCUAGGAAAUAGUUUAAUUCUAUUGAAUGUAA
rnacentral:tRNA from 1 species